UAUUUAUGUAUUUUGCUGCCUGUGAUGACAAUUUCCAUGUCUCUUUGCAAAGGUUCAUUACAAUUCCAAUAUUUUCUAGAAAUUAGUUCAAUCCAUAUAUUGCAAACAUUAAAGUUGUUCCGAUUUAAACAACACUCAACACUGUGAUAAUGUCAGGAACAAUAUAGAAUAUAGAUGAUUCAUUUAAUCCCUAUAUCUAUAAUCGCAUCUAUUACUAGGAACACAAAACUCGAUUGGUUUUCAGAAAUUGCACACAAAAAUAAAACAAGCAAAAUACUAAAAAAGGAGAUUAAUUCUGAUCCAAGCACAAUACUUGAUUACCAAUACUAAUUAAAUUAAUUGAUUCAUUUUGUUCAUUGAUUCAUGUGUGGUCAGUUAAAAAAAAUAAUCGUGCAAAAUUUUAGCAGACGGAGUGAGGUGAUAUAAGCUUUGUAAAAAAAAAAAGAUGAAAAUGGUCAAAGUAGCAUACUAGUACUACUCGUAACAGGAAUUUUUAAUGUCUUGUUAUAUAGUGCAAUAGAAGUUAUUUAGAUUAGGUUGAAAUUGAUCAUAAUUAUAUGUACAUGUGCUGUCAUAAGAUUCACAUAAAUGUAUAAAUAUAAGAAUUGUAUGGUAAAUAAGUAUGUGUUUGUACUUCAUGUCUAUUAUUGAUCUUAAUGAAAUGAGAGAUUGUAAAACAUACAUCUUAUUUCUUCAACGUCUACAAAUGUGAAAACAUUUUGAAUCAAAUAACUGUACAAUGAUAUUGUAAAUUGGAUUCCUUUUUAUU